rnacentral:lncRNA from 1 species
UUUUUUUUUUUUUUUUUUUGAGACUGAGUCUCGCUCUGUCACCCACGCUGGAGUGCAGUGGCGCAAUCUCGGCUCGCUGCAACCUCCGCCUCCUGGAUUCAAGCGAUCCUUCCGCCUCAGCCUCCCUGGUAGCUGGGAUUACAGAUGCGCACAACCACAUCUGGCUAAAUUUUUGUACUUGUAGUAGAGAUAGAGUUUCACCAUGUUGGCCAGGCUGGUCUCGAACUCCUGACCUCAGGUGAUUCACCCGCCUCAGUCUCCCAAAGUGCUGGGAUUACAGGUAUGAGCCACCAUGCCCAGCUGAUAGGAGAGAUUUGACAGAAACCCCAUAUGUGUUGCAAGAACGUGAGCUCCACGAGGACAGGACGUAGCCACCACCCUCCAUGGCGCCACCCAUAUGGCGCUGGGUAGGGAAAGCACUUGACAAGUGUGUGCAGACUGCAUGACGAGGUGCACCCAGCCUUGCUCAAAGGAGUCCUGAGCACACAACUGCAGGUGCACACAAGAUGCAGACAGUCCCAUGUGUGCACACAGACAGCUGCUCCUUCUUGCAGCCCUGAGUCCCCCAGCAUGACCACCCCCUCUGCAAAACACAAACACCAGCACACGAGGGACCCUUAUGAACACCGGAUGAGCCUGAUAAGACACGUGGCCACAUGCGCCCUUGGCUAGAUCACCAUCCAGGCCACACAGGUAGACGACACCUACGCACAGGUGCAGGCAGACAGACAGACAUCUGGAUUCUGGGGACACCGGGACCCCCUCCAUGUUUCUACUUGGCCUCCCGCCUCACUCUAGGACCCGUCUCUUCCCUUCCACCAGGGUGCCCAAUAGCAACCACUCUGCCCCAAACCCAGCUUGGGAGGAGCUGUCUGUCUUGCCACAGCACCCCCAGGGUCACUGGGGUCAGGGUUUCAGACCCAGGGAACCCCCGCCUCAGGAGUCCCUCCCCCUGCCUCCCCAUGGAGGAGCUGGAGGAGGGGAAGCGUCUGGCAUCUGGAAAUCAGAUCCGUGAGAGGAACCCACACAGAAACCAGAGCCUUGUGUGUCCUUGGCCACACGUCUCGCCGGGGAGGCAGGAGGGGGUGGAGGGCAAAGACGAUGCUCUGGCGGGGAUGGCACUGCUCCCACUGCUCUGGUUCCUCUUGAGGGGUACCCGCUGCCACCCUCUCCACCGAGAUGCCUGCACUGGGGCUGAAGCAACACACGUUCUGCCACCAGCCUGGCAGGGUAGGGAGGACGCAGAUGCCCCGAGACACACGCAUCACGCAGCCUCGCAUGCAGGUGGAGACGCCACCGGCCAGGAGCCCAAACCGCUGGAUGCAAACACACUCCCGAGCAGCUGAGGCGCCUGUAGGCUCCUCCCCAAUGUGUCCACAGGGUCCUCCUAGGUCCCCCAGGAGAAAGGGCUCCCCUGGGCAGGCUGGGAAUAGAAGCUGGGCUUCAAGUCCCUACCUUCCCCUCCUCCUGUAGGCUCCACAGCCCAGGUGUGCUGGUCCCCAGCUCCCCAUCCUCCCCAACCCUGCACGCCAGCUACACCCCCAAGAGCAGGCAUCAGCAUGGGUGAUCACCGGGUACGCAAGCCCCCCAGAAGUGGGGAUUGAGACGGGUGCCCCUUGGAGAGAGAGCGAGCGCCUGGAGGGGCGUCCCAGGGCAGGUGCUACACACACAGGGUGGACUGAGCGAGGCCAUGUGGGAGGUCACCAAGCUAGGGAGGAAGAUGGUGGCAAGACCAGCAGGAGGGCCGGCACCCACAUGUGAGUGCACGUAUGUUGCAGUAUGUAGCUCCAUUACAGUGCGAUCGCUGCCAGCCAUGGAAUUAGUUCCCUUUUCCGAAUUCCAGAUGAUUUUUCAUCUCUGUAAUUAAUGGGCAAGUCAGUUCUGAACGGCAUGGCAGGCAAAUUGCUAGUUAGGAAAAUCACGGAUAAUUUUCUCGAUAUGAUAAUGAACGUUGGAAUCCUUCUCUUAUUCUCCCUGUUUUCAUCCUACUUUUAAGUAAUAAAUUUGGCAUUAGUGGGAGGGGAGCAGGGAGGAAGGAGAAGUCACCUGGCCCCCAAAGCUGGGGCCUGACAGGGGCCCACGCAGAGUCCCCUGCCCCCCAGGCCGUGGGGCAGAUUGGAGAAGAGAAUGAGGGGUGUGGACCCUCCGCGGGGGUGAUCAAUUCAGGGGUCCAGGCCCUGGAGAACAGGUGGAGGGCAGGGAGCUUUCAGGCUGUCAGCCAGGGUGAAGGAGUGCGGUCUGGGGUCAGGUUAGACUCAUGCCAGCCCUUGGGGUGUUGGAGAGAGAAGCAGAAACCAAUAGCCUGUCCCCAAACAGCACGGAGGUCAACGGUCCGGAAUAGACAUUCACCCUCAGGUGUGCCCCACUAGGUCCAACCUCCUCUAAGCGGUGACUCCAUACCAGGCUAAGGGAGCCGGGCAGAGAGAGAGAUAUAAAGACAGAGAGAGAGAGAGAGAGAGAGAGAGAGAGAGAGAGAGAGAGAGAGCCAGCCAGAGAUGUUGGGCAUGUUGGAAGACAGACCCCAGCUCUAAGUCCGGUGGAAGCCAGGCAGAAAGGGGGGCCCUGCCUGGAACUGGGAUGAGCUGCCAUGGGUGGAGGUGGAUGGGGUUGCAACAGGAGGAAAGGGUCCAGGCAGGUACAGAGAGAUGCUGGCCAGGGAUGGGGCAGUGUGAGGACCCGGACUCCAAGUGUAGCGACAGGGGUGUGUGUAGCCAGCGGCUGUCAUCAGAUGGGGGCCAGGGGUGCACUGGAGAGAUACCUGGGAGGGUACUUUCUGGACACGGCUGGAGCAAACACAGCCCCCACCCCCCACCACCACUUCAGGCCUGGACUAGGGUCCCAGGACCGUCAUAUGGGAGGAUGACAACCGAACCUUGGUAGCUCAAUCAAAUGCGCACCUGGGGUGGGGGUGGGGAGUUGUCCUCAAAGCACGAAUAAUCCCGGUGGAUCAAACCUGCCGGCCUCCCGUGCUUUAACCCGGCACC